rnacentral:lncRNA from 1 species
CUACAGAUUUAUUUUUUUUAUUUAUUUUUUAUUUUUUUACUUUAGACUCUAAAGUUAAAAGUUUUUAUUAAGGCUAUUGUAAAGGCUUCUUAAAAAUGAUGUCGCUGAUGAGCCUCUGAUCGCUGUCAGAUUCUGUGAUAUGAAUGUCCGCUAAUGGGUUUAGAAUGAGCCCCGCUCGGCCCGUGUUCUGGCUUACUGUAAUAUUUCACCUGUAAUAAGACCGAAAUAAUAUAAUUAAAAUAAAGAAAUGAAUGAAUACAUGAUAACAUCUAAAUAAAUGUUGAUAGAUUUAGCGUUAUAGUUUUAAAAAUAUUAAUAAACAGCAAAUCAACACAGAAAGACCUAAAUAAUAAUAAUACAUAAUUAAUAAAUAGCGCCGCCCCUCCCACUACGCGCAUCACGCGCUGUGCGUCAACCCCAAAGCGUCAAAAACUGAAGCGUGGUCAAGCGCCUCUAGCGUCACUGACAUGAGAUGUUUAUCGCUUUGAAAUCACGUUCAAGAAGUCUCAUUCAGCACACAUCGCGAUACUUUCCAUCAGUUUGCAAGAGCCGCAGGUUGGGUGAGUUAUACAGUCUAUGCUGAAAAGACGUAAAGUAAGCAGUCACCCCAGUGGUGUUUGUGGAGAGGUAUUCCUUCAGAAAUGGAGAAGACAGAAAGCUGCAGAGGCAGGAUUGUUUCCAGAUAACACUGUAGAUCUCCCUCAUGCACAAGGACUCACCUCUUUAACUCUUUAACCCCCCCCCACACACACACACAGAAAUGGUUCCUGGAUCAGUGACUCAAGACUUUGCAGUGGUUUGAUUUCUGCAGAAGAUGUAACUUUGUUUUAAUUAACCUUAUAAUGAAUACAUUGUGACCUUCCAGCAACCCAUAUACUGUACUGUAUACAGAACCAGUGAUGACAACAAUAGUUAAAAAUAGCAUUUAUCAUAUUGAUAAAGCAUUGUGUUCUCUUUGUCAAGCUUCAUACAGUAAACUUUACUUCUGGUGCUUUUAUCAUAAAAAAGCUUCAGUUCUCAUCAGGAGUUUUAGUAAAGGACAUAUUCAUGCACAGUAAUCCCCUAGUUCCAGUCAUGAAGUGAAUGAUGUUAUUGUUAAAGUUAUAUUUCUGCAUUUUUAUGUAGCAGGUGUUUGUUUUCCUGAACACUUUAUCUUUCUUCCAUUGUUCGGACAAUCAGUGUUUACGUGAUGCUCUGCUGAUUGAGUUUUAUAGAUGAUAUUGCACACUUGACAUGCAUGUCUUCAUGAUGUUUUUUGUGAGUUUGAAACAUUUACAUUGUGUUGUAUCACUUUUUGGUCAAUAGAAUCUUUUAAGAAAAUGUAUAUUUUUACGGUGUUCUCUGAAAGAUAUAUACCAUAUUUAUAAUGUUUUGUUUUUUAAUAAAAGAAUUUGCACACUGAAAAUUGUUAACGUUUACAACAUAACUGC